rnacentral:rRNA from 1 species
UGAGCAAUCUGCCCUUCUCUUCGGAAUAAGCGUUGGAAACGACGUCUAAUGCCGAAUACGACCUCCUUUCGCAUGAUCCGAGGUGGAAAGCUCCGGCGGAGAAGGAUGAGCUCGCGGCCUAUCAGCUAGUUGGUGUGGGUAAUGGCCCACCAAGGCGACGACGGGUAGCCGGCCUGAGAGGACGACCAGCCACACUGGAACUGAGACGCGGUCCAGACUCCGUACGGGAGCAG